GCUGGGUGUGGUGGCGCAUGCCUGUAGUCCCAGCUGCUCAGGAGGCUGAGGCAGGAGAAUCACUUGAACCCAGGAGGCAGAGGUUGCAGUGAACAGAAAUCACAUCACUGCACUCCAGCCUGGGUUACAGAGUGAGACUCUGUCUCAA
rnacentral:sRNA from 1 species